rnacentral:rRNA from 1 species
AUUGAACGCUGGCGGCAUGCCUUACACAUGCAAGUCGAACGGCAGCACGGAGCGUGCUCUGGUGGCGAGUGGCGAACGGGUGAGUAAUAUAUCGGAACGUACCCAAGAGGGGGGGAUAACGUAGCGAAAGUUACGCUAAUACCGCAUACGCUCUCAGGAUGAAAGCAGGGGACCUUCGGGCCUUCUUCUCCUGGAGCGGCCGAUAUCUGGUUAGCUAGUUGGUGAGGGAAAGGCUCACAAAGGCAUCGAUCAGUAGCUGGUCUGAGAGGACGACCAGCCACACUGGAACUGAGACACGGUCCAGACUCCUACGGGAGGCAGCAGUGGGGAAUUUUGGACAAUGGGGGCAACCCUGAUCCAGCAAUGCCGCGUGAGUGAAGAAGGCCUUCGGGUUGUAAAGCUCUUUUGUCAGGGAAGAAACGGUGAAGGCUAAUAUCCUUUGCUAAUGACGGUACCUGAAGAAUAAGCACCGGCUAACUACGUGCCAGCAGCCGCCGUAA